AGCCACGCAGCUGGGCCAGCAGGACCCGCAGUGGAGCCCAGGGUGCGACUGAGAGCCGCCUCCAAACGUGUGUGUGCGGUUGGGAUCACAUCUAAUGACUGAAUGGCCUGGGCUUGACACCCUCGCGGCAGGUGGACACGGCGUCUGACGUCAGCUCCCGCCCCCAUGACGUGAGCGAGUGUGUCCUAAAGAGCCUCCUGCCGCAUGGCCGUUGCUGAAACGCACCACGAAGGGCUGAAAUCACACCCUUUGAGGAACCAUGGCGGCGCUGAAGUUAAGGAUGCACCCUUCCCAGGCAUGGGGGACCGUCUUCAAAAAAGUAUCAGUUUAAUUUGCACCCAGAUGACAACCUCUCCAGUAAGCCCUGGACCCCAAAGACAGAGCCGGACAAGGACUCCCCAAGGCAGGCAGCGUGGCCCCUGCACAAACCAGUUUCCCUAUCUGGAGAGAACAAUGGACUGGCUAUCAGAGCUGGUUCUGGUUUUGCUCCAUUCUAAGAUGUGACUGAGGUGAGCCAGGACUGUCCACGCACUGACCAGCAAGCGAGCGUGAGGCCCACACCAUGUGGUCCCAGAGGCGGGCCUGGGAUGGCGUCUCCAAACUGUCAGGUUUCUCUGGCUCCAUCUUACUAGUUCCCUGUAUCAUUAUGCUAGUAUCAUUGAUGUGGAUGACGGUAUCUUCUAACUCACCGCUUUUCAGGUAACUGGAGACUUAUCGACCACUUUCCAGAAUCACCUUUUGAUCAAUAUGGGCGUGAAUGGAAUUGGGGGUCCAGCGGGGGAGCUGGUUAGAUGGUCCAUGAAAACACCAUGCAGGGAAGUCAGUGUGAACUAAAGGGGUUCACCCUCCUGCUCUCAGAUUUAUGUAUUUACUUAUACAAGAACCCGGGUACAGGCCAGAUGCGCAGGAGGGUGAGAGGAUUCACCAGAGACAGAACAGGGAACAGAACAGGCAGACUGAUGAACUACACUGCUGAGGGGAGCAGCAGGCACGACAGGAAAGGUCUGCCACGCCCAUGUGGGACCCUCUCUGGCCAGCCGGGAUCGAACCGACACUGCAGAGGCUGCAGACAGCUUCACAGUGCGGUGCUCAACUGCCUGUGCCACCAGGGGAGGCCCGGACAAAUCAUUU